rnacentral:tRNA from 1 species
UCUAAAAUGGCAGAAAAGUGCAAUGGAUUUAAGCUCCAUAUAUGAAAGAAUUGUCUUUCUUUUAGAA